rnacentral:rRNA from 1 species
GACGAACCGUGCGAACGUUGUUCGGAAUCACUGGGCUUAAAGGGCGCGUAGGCGGCCGGCAAAGUCAGGGGUGAAAUCCCGCAGCUUAACUGCGGAAGUGCCUUUGAUACUGGUCGGCUCGAGGGAGACAGGGGUCUGUGGAACGGGUGGUGGAGCGGUGAAAUGCGUUGAUAUCACUCGGAACGCCGGUGGCGAAAGCGACGGACUGGAUCUCUACUGACGCUGAGGCGCGAAAGCCAGGGGAGCAAACGGGAUUAGAUACCCCGGUAGUCCUGGCCCUAAACGAUGGGUACUAGAUUGUGGACUUGUCAUGGGUUCCCAGUCGAAGCAAAAGUUUUAAGUACCCCGCCUGGGGAGUAUGGUCGCAAGGCUGAA